AGUGAACGCUGGCGGUAGGCCUAACACAUGCAAGUCGAACGGCAGCACAGUAAGAGCUUGCUCUUACGGGUGGCGAGUGGCGGACGGGUGAGGAAUACAUCGGAAUCUACUUUUUCGUGGGGGAUAACGUAGGUAAACUUACGCUAAUACCGCAUAUGACCUACGGGUGAAAGCAGGGGAUCUUCGGACCUUGCGCGAUUGAAUGAGCCGAUGUCGGAUUAGCUAGUUGGCGGGGUAAAGGCCCACCAAGGCGACGGUCCGUAGCUGGUCUGAGAGGAUGAUCAGCCACACUGGAACUGAGACAGGGUCCAGACUCCUACGGGGGGCAACGGUGGGGAAUAUUGGACAAUGGGCACAAGCCUGAUCCAGCCAUACCGCGUGGGUGAGGAAGGCCUUCGGGUUUUAAAGCCCUUUUGGUGGGAAAGAAAAGCAGCAGGUUAAUACCCCGCUGUUCUGACGGUACCCAAAGAAUAAGCACCGGCUAACUUCGUG
rnacentral:rRNA from 1 species